AAAAAAAAAAAAAAAAAAAAUCACUAGUGUCAAUUUGACAAAAAGUUCAAAUCCUCCUCCCAGGAAUCAAGCAGCAACUUCUUGCUCCUUUGAAGCAAGCUGGUUUUGAAUGUGUUGAGGGACAACAUCAAACUUGGAUAAUUGCAUGGUAUAGGAUGCGCGACCUUUUGUCAUUCCCCUAAGAGUACUAACAUAUUGAAACAUCUCCGCCAGCGGAACAAGGGCAUCAACCACCUUCAGGCCACCAGGUUUGUCACCGAAGCUGUUAAUCUGACCUCUUCUAGAGUUGAGAUCACCAAUAACAUCUCCCAAAUGUUCUUCAGGGGUGACCACUUCAACUUUCAUUAUAGGUUCUAGCAUCUUUGGGCCAGCUCUCUUCAUGCCAUCUCGGAAAGCUCCCCUAGCUGCCAAUUGAAAUGCCAAAACACUUGAAUCCACAUCAUGGUAAGAACCAUCUACCAACACAGCACGUACAUCCACCACAGGAUAACCUGCAAGUACUCCAUUAUUCAUGCACUCUUCC
rnacentral:misc_RNA from 1 species